rnacentral:rRNA from 1 species
UACGUAGGGGGCAAGCGUUGUCCGGAUUUAUUGGGCGUAAAGAGCGUGUAGGCGGUUCUUUUAAGUUUGGUGUGAAAUCUCCCGCUCAACCGGGAGGGUGCGCCGAAUACUGAGGGACUAGAGUGCGGGAGAGGAAAGUGGAAUUCCUGGUGUAGCGGUGAAAUGCGUAGAUAUCAGGAGGAACACCGGUGGUGUAGACGGCUUUCUGGACCGUAACUGACGCUGGAGAACACGAAAGCGUGGGUAGCAAACAGG